CCAAUGGUCACAGGGAGAAGGCAGGAGAAUGGAGUUGAGAGGGAGAAUAAAUCAGCCAUGAUAAAAUGGUGGGGAAGACUCGAAGGGGCAACAGAAGACAAGACAGCUGACUGCUCUGGAACUUUUGGACCCUCAGGUUUUUAUGAAAACGUUCAUCAUUGGCUGUGUUCAUUGAACUGGUAGUACUCCUCUGGACAAGGAACCACAUAAGGUCCGGCAGAUGUGGGAGGUGGAACGUUUGGAUAUGGUAUUGAACUGGGUUGGACAUCAGGCUGAUUUUUGUGGAUGGGCACACACAUCGAUAGUGCAAAUGGACAUGCCAUUUCAGAGGUGUUUGAAGAUCUGCACGUACAAAGAAAAAUCUGACAUUUGUGACAAUAAAGUGGAAUGGGAAGAUUGGUUAAUUAUAGGCAACCUGUAUUUUCCCUAUAUAAAAUAUGAAAUUCAAGGCAAUGGGGUUUCUACAUUAGAAAGGGGAUCCAGACCCCAGAUUUUUCUUCAUCAUCUUGUAUCAUAUAAUUUGUCUGGAUAAUGAAGGAAUGCAAGGAACCAGAUGAAAAAAAUCUAAAUUGAGCAAAUGUUUCUUGAAAUGAGAGCAACACACACAUUCACCAUUCCCCUUGAAAUGGGACAUUGUUUUCUGGAUCAGCUCUUUUUAGCUUAGUUGGAGAUAAAUGAAUAUAAUCACUAUACUGUAGUAGUUGAUACCUGCUGGCAGAACUUGUAAAAUUAAAGUUUUUCAUUGCAAUCGGACUUCACUACAUAUCCAAUUAAAUUUCAAAGCUGUUACUCUAAGUUUCAGCAUUUAAAAGAAUAUAAGCAGGUAAUGUAAGGGUUUCUUCAAAAAUAAAAAUAGCCUCUUGUAAAAUCCAGUGAAGACUUUUUUUUCUAACCGUCUCUUACAUUCACUUCAAGUUAUGACAGGAUUUAUGAGAUUUUUUCCAAUAAGUCCUCUCAUGGACCUGAAGAAAAACUCUGCCUUUAAUACCAUCAUUCCAAAUAAAGCGAUUCCUAAGCUCCGGAACCUGGGCCUUAGUACUCAGAUCUGCAGCUGGAUCUUCAACUUCCUCACAGACAGGACCCAGGCUGUAAAAAUAGGGGACAAGCUCUCCUCUACAAUCACUCUGAGCACCGGUGCCCCACAAGGCUGUGUACUCAGCCCCCUGCUGUACCCACUGUACACCCAUGAUUGUGUAGCCAAGCUUCCAUCAAACUCAAUAUAUAAGUUUGCUGAUGACACAACAAUUCUAGGCCGUAUCUCGGGUAGUGAUGAGUUUGAGUACAGAGAGGAAAUUAAGAACCUGGUGGCAUGGUGCGAAGACAAUAACCUAUCUUCAACAUCAGCAAGAUGAAGGAAUUGGUUGUUGACUUCAGAAGGAGUAGCGGACCGCACGACCCAAUUUACAUCGGUGGUGCGCAAGUGGAACAGGUCAAAAGCUUUAAGUUCCUCGGGGUCAAUAUCACAAAUGACCUGACUUGGUCCAACCAAGCAGAGUUCACUGCCAAGAAGGCCCACCAGCGCCUUUACUUCCUGAGAAAACUAAAGAAAUUUGGCCUGACCCCUAAAACCUUCACUAAUUUUUAUAGGAGCACCGUAGAAAGCAUUCUUCUAGAGUGCAUCACAACCUGGUAUGGAAGUUUCCUGUCGAAGACCAAAAGAAGCUGCAGAAGAUCGUGAACACGGCGCAGCACAUCACACAAACCAAUCUUCUGUCCUUGGACUCACCUUACACCGCACGCUGUUGGAACAGUGCUGCCAGGAUAAUCAAGGACACGACCCACCCAGCCAACACGCUUUUUGUCCCUCUUCCCUCCGGGAGAAGGCUCAGGAGCUUGAAGACUUGUACGGCCAGAUUUGGGAACAGCUUCUUUCCAACUGCCAUAAGACUGCUGAACGGAUCCUGACCUGGAUCUGGGCCGUACCCUCCAAAUAUCCGGACCUGCCUCUUGGUUUUUUUUGCACUACCUUACUUUCCAUUUUUCUAUUUUCUAUUUAUGAUUUAUAAUUUACAUGUAUAAUAUUUAUUAAUUUUUACUAUUUAAUAUUUAUAAUCUAGGGAGCGGGAAGCACAGAAUCAAACAUUGAUGUGAUGAUUAUAUGUUCUAGUAUCAAUUGUUUGGCGACUAUAAAGUAUAAAGUAUGUGAAGAAGUUCGUUCAAUUGUGUUUAUAAGUAAAGUUGAAAAUCUAUAUAACAUGUACUGAUCCCGCAAGGGUAACUAAUGAAAAUAUUGAUUCAGAUUUUUUUCACUCACUGUCCAAGAUAAGAAGGAGUAUGAAUCAAAUAAAAUAAAGCAUU